ensembl:snRNA Rnu6-663 RNA, U6 small nuclear 663
GGGGCUAGAGUGCUUAGUUUAGCAGCAUAAGAAUAAUACAGAGAUUAGUAUGGCCUCUGUACUAGGAUGACAUACAAAUCUGUGAAUCGUUCCUUAUUUAG